UACGGGGGGAGCAAGCGUUGUUCGGAUUUACUGGGCGUAAAGGGCGCGUAGGCGGUCAGCACAAGUCAGUUGUGAAAUCUCCGGGCUUAACUCGGAAAGGUCAACUGAUACUGUGCGACUAGAGUGCGGAAGGGGCAACUGGAAUUCUUGGUGUAGCGGUGAAAUGGCGUAGAUAUCAAGAGGAACACCUGCGGCGAAGGCGGGUUGCUGGGCCGACACUGACGCUGAGGCGCGAAAGCCAGGGGAGGCGAACGGG
rnacentral:rRNA from 1 species